rnacentral:rRNA from 1 species
CCUACGGGAGGCAGCAGUGGGGAAUUUUGGACAAUGGGCGAAAGCCUGAUCCAGCAAUGCCGCGUGCAGGAUGAAGGCCCUCGGGUUGUAAACUGCUUUUGUACGGAACGAAAAGCCUGGGGCUAAUAUCCCCGGGUCAUGACGGUACCGUAAGAAUAAGC